rnacentral:tRNA from 1 species
CGGAGUGUGGUGCAGCCUGGUAGCGCACUUGCAUGGGGUGCAAGGGGUCGAAGGUUCGAAUCCUUUCACUCCGACCA